rnacentral:rRNA from 1 species
AUGGAGGUAAAAAGAGUUUACUUGAAGACCGAGCAUGGUUAUACCUUCAACGUCAAAUUAUACAAUGCAGACACAUACACCUAUUUUGAAUGCAAAACUUGGCAAGCACUAUGCAAGGCUUAUGCAUUUGAGCCUGAUAUGGUUAUCACCUUUGAUAUUCGUCUGGAAGAUGAUAUUGAAGGUAAUAGAGACAUCUGGGUCGAUGUGCAGACGCCUCCAGUUCUACCAUUAUCUUACUUCCAAUCAAGCAAACAUGUCCGACGCUUGGUAGACAGGACCGUCCACUGUCCCGGGGCUGAACUAAACUUGAGGAGACAAGUCAUUAUAUUUCAUGGCUUGAGGAUCUUAAUGUUGUCAAGACAAAUUUCUUUCCUGCACUUAGAAAUGUUAGUACUCAAAACAUGCGACCAAUAG